UGAACACAGGUGCUGCAUGGCUGUCGUCAGCUCGUGUCGUGAGAUGUUGGGUUAAGUCCCGCAACGAGCGCAACCCUUAUCAUUAGUUGCUACGCAAGGGCACUCUAAUGAGACUGCCGGUGACAAACCGGAGGAAGGUGGGGAUGACGUCAAGUCCUCAUGGCCCUUAUGCGUAGGGCUUCACACGUCAUACAAUGGUCGGUACAGAGGGUUGCCAACCCGCGAGGGGGAGCCAGUCCCACAAAGCCGAUCGUAGUCCGGAUUGCAGUCUGCAACUCGACUGCAUGAAGUCGGAAUCGCUAGUAAUCGCGGAUCAGCAUGUCGCGGUGAAUACGUUCCCGGGUCUU
rnacentral:rRNA from 1 species